rnacentral:misc_RNA from 1 species
AACCAUAGAAACCUGCGGAGUACCUGCGGAGGGAUCAUUACAAGUGACCCCGGUUUACCACCGGGAUGUUCAUAACCCUUUGUUGUCCGACUCUGUUGCCUCCGGGGCGACCCUGCCUUCGGGCGGGGGCUCCGGGUGGACACUUCAAACUCUUGCGUAACUUUGCAGUCUGAGUAAACUUAAUUAAUAAAUUAAAACUUUUAACAAUGGAUCU